UACGAAGGGUGCAAGCGUUAAUCGGAAUUACUGGGCGUAAAGCGUGCGUAGGCGGUUUCUUAAGUCUGCUGUGAAAGCCCUGGGCUCAACCUGGGAAUGGCGGUGGAUACUGAGAAGCUGGAGUACGGUAGAGGAAGGUGGAAUUCCCGGUGUAGCGGUGAAAUGCGUAGAGAUCGGGAGGAACACCAGUGGCGAAGGCGACUAUCUGGGCUGCAACUGACGCUGAGGCGCGAAGGCUAGGGUAGCAAACAGG
rnacentral:rRNA from 1 species